AUAUUGGACAAUGGGGGAAACUCGGAUCCAGCCAUCCCGCGUGUAUGAUGAAGGCCUUCGUGUUGUAAAGUACUUUUGGCAGAGAAGAAAAGGUACCUCCUAAUACGAGGUACUGCUGACGGUAUCUGAUGAUUAAGCAUCGGCUAACGACGUGCCAGCAGCCGCGGUAAUACGUAGGGUGCAAGCGUUAAUCGGAAUUACUGGGCGUAAAGCGUGUGUAGGCGGUUCGUAAAGAAAGAUGUGAAAUCCCAGGGCUCAACCUUGGAACUGCAUUUUUAACUGCCGAGCUAGAGUAUGUCAGAGGGGGGUAGAAUUCCACGUGUAGCAGUGAAAUGCGUAGAUAUGUGGAGAAAUACCGAUGGCGAAGGCAGCCCCCUGGGAUAAUACUGACGCUCAGACACGAAAGCGUGGGGAGCAAAC
rnacentral:rRNA from 1 species